AGAACGAACGCUGGCGGCAUGCCUAAUACAUGCAAGUCGAACGAACUCUUCGGAGUUAGUGGCGCACGGGUGCGUAACGCGUGGGAAUCUGCCCUUGGGUUCGGAAUAACAGUUGGAAACGACUGCUAAUACCGGAUGAUGACGAAAGUCCAAAGAUUUAUCGCCCAGGGAUGAGCCCGCGUAGGAUUAGCUAGUUGGUGAGGUAAAGGCUCACCAAGGCGACGAUCCUUAGCUGGUCUGAGAGGAUGAUCAGCCACACUGGGACUGAGACACGGCCCAGACUCCGACGGGAGCAGCAGUAGGGAAUAUUGGACAAGUGGGACGAAAGCCUGAUCCGAAGCAAGUCGCCGCGGUGAGUGAGUAGAACGGUCGUUAAGGGUUAGUAAAGGUCUUACCUUUUACCCGGAGAUAGAUAAUAGAC
rnacentral:rRNA from 1 species